rnacentral:rRNA from 1 species
UACGUAGGGGGCGAGCGUUGUCCGGAUUUAUUGGGCGUAAAGAGCUCGUAGGCGGUUUGGUAAGUCGGGUGUGAAAUCUCCACGCUCAACGUGGAGGGGCCACUCGAUACUGCCAUGACUCGAGUCCGGUAGAGGAGUGUGGAAUUCCCGGUGUAGCGGUGAAAUGCGCAGAUAUCGGGAGGAACACCCGUAGCGAAGGCGGCACUCUGGGCCGGAACUGACGCUGAGGAGCGAAAGCGUGGGGAGCGAACAGG